GGCCCAGUAUUGUUGAAGAAUUGGUUAUUCUCAUAGUACCUCAUUCUCCAUGAUCUAUUAUUGGUCACAUCGAAAUGAUCUAGAGGCUGUUCAAUCCACUCCUCCAUUAACAUCCUCGCCCCUUUUACCUCUGGCUCUCGGAGGCCCUCAUAAUGAAACCCUCGAAAUCCGAAACCCUGGAUUGAAACAAGGUGCGAGAAAAGCCAAAUGAAAAUACCCAGACGCCACAUCGCGAGGCUUCCAACGUCUAAUUAAUACCUCUAGACACUCUAUUCGAUACUGAUAGUGAAUUAUAUCCUAAUAACCCCUACAGGGAAUUAUAUCGUAAUGAUCAUAUCAUAUCAUAUCAUAGUGAUAAGAUCAUGUCGGACUCCCAAUUAAUAAUUUACCAGUGUUAUCGAAAAACGUCAAGCGACAAGCUUUGUAGUCAUUUCUUCAUGCUAUCAAGUUGGAUGGUCUGCGUCUGCCUCAAUCGCACAUGAGACUGGACAUCCAGAAACUAGUACAUUCCCACGGAACUCACAGUCCCAUCGCCUCUCGUUGAUGUACCACAGGACAGGAAAAACCGAUUCGUCUUCCAGUCAGCGCGGCGUACCCCGGAGAUCGAUAUUAGGGGCAGGAAUAGUGGAAGAAGCGGGAUAAAGAGGGAGGGAGUAGGAGCAAGAAGAGGGUUAAGGAUCUCGAGGGAGGUCGAGAGUGGAGGCAGCCAAGGGGAAUUUUCGAGGGUGACGAAGUAACUGGGGCGAGGCCAGGCGCACGUACACGUCUUACAUCCACUUUACGACCCCUCGACUUCCCCCGAAAGAAGCCCAAAUGAAACAGAACAAUCUCAGAGGAAAAAAACAUCUCCAACUGAGAAUAUUCUUGCAAAUUCUUGUCUCGGUGGAAAAAGACGGCUGUGUUUAAUAAAUUCAGAGGAAUCUCUCCGUGAAUUUCAAACUUCUCGCAGUUUUCGGAAAUUUGGAAUAAGUGGCUGAAAUAUGCUGGUCCGCAGGUGGAUCCGCACACCCUGAAGUCCUCGAGUUCACCUUCGUAACCUCGUCUGUGUUACCAGACAGAUCCUUAUUCAGGCGCUCUUGUGUGGCGGCACAUUGUUGGUCUCGGCCAUCCCUACAACCCCUUGAAGACCUACGAAAAGAAAAUGCCUGUCCAGCUGAACUCUAGUUGCUGACGUUUUUUAUUGUGAAAUUGUUCUGUCAGCCAAAAAAAAAUGUUACAACCGCAUAUUUUUUUCAUUCAAAAAUGAUUGCGUUGAGAACCCCUGACCCAGUGAGCGUAGCGAGGCUGUGAUUGGUGGAAUUUAAACUUGCAAACCUCGGUAGGGGCGCGCCGCUCAGCCAAGUUCACGAGGAACUUUCGACUCAAAAUUUUACGCUGGAUCUACCCUCAAAGUUACAGUGCGUGGUUCGUCGAACCGAGGGGCUCUUGCUGCUGCACCUGUCUCGGCCCGUGCGAGGUGGUCAGGUGGACUGGACUUCCGGGAUCACAAAAUGUUUCACAGUAUCAAAAAAAAAAAAAAAAAUCAUCGACAAGAUACCAAAAAAGUGACAUGGUUGCCCAGACAACGGAAAACGGAAAAAGUAUCAUUUAAAAUUUUUUUUUUUAUGUAUUUGAUAGUGACAUGGGCCACAUCGUGGCCCGUCGAUCGAUGUCGUUGUCAUGGCUACCGGGGCCGCGCGAUUCUCUACUACUGAUUAUUUAUGUCAAGGAUUCUACAGUGAAAUGCGAACGCAAACGUGUACCAACCCCGCACCCUCUCCUUUUCUUUUUCAUCCUGUCUCACUCUCUCUUUGUGAAUCCUCUGCGCUGAUUCCCAUGCGCAUGUCAUAGGAGAAAGAGAGAGAAUGAGGGGUGGUGAAUGCUUUCCGCCCCUUUCCCGUCCCUUUCACAUAAACCCCUCUCCUGAGUCAUUCCGACCCAGUUUCACCCUGUCGUGGCCUCGUCCGGUAAUCGAUAACUUCCACCCAGAGAGUGCGCUCAAAUCAAGGGGUUGCUACCCCCCUUCUCCCCCAUCCUCCUCGCUCCACUCAACCUCCCCCACUUUACCCAUUUUCUAGUUGCACCAGUUACCCUGUUUCGUAAUAACAAUUACUGAAAGAAGGUUUUCCAUUUAUUUAUCGUUCUUUUUCCACAUUUUUUCCAGCGGUUGAGUAGAGUGGGACGAGUUGGAUCAGACAAUUAAAUGGGUUUCGCUGUGGAUUAAUUAUUUAUUUAUUCGUUCAUUUACUUUUUUUUGGUUUAGGGGAGAAGAGGGAAUUGAUUCACAACUGGAGAGCUGAAACAGGAUAAGGCAACUCAACUCCAGGAUAGGUUUUAGCGAUUGUUCAAUUCUCUGUUGAAAAUUCGGGGAAGUUUCAGAAAAAAAUCUGAAAUUCGAUUGCAUUUUCACGAGAAUCUGAAAAACUAUGAUUUUCUCCUCUAAAUGGAAUUCAAUGUCACUCUCCAGCAAUUUAUUUCUCAACUGUCCAUGAAAUGUCAAUAAUUUUCUAACAGUGCAUUGCACAACCGCCUAUUAUUCAUGUCCUUCUCAUCAUUCCUAUCCUUUAUUCUAUACACAUGACACUCUGACUGUCGGAUUCAGCUAGAAUAAACGAAUGAUAAAUUUAAUGAAUUCUUGAAUUGAAAAGAGACAAUUGGCCAAUGGUGAAAAGGACGAGGCACCGUUUCGUUUCUCAGACUUAUGGCAUUUUAAACACGUUUCUCCUUCACAAAAAUCCCUAAAAUAGAGUCGAGAGUCCUUGGAGCGGUUUAGGUAUCGCUCAAUGGUUUCCAUUCGCUGUCUAGGUAAAAUUCUGAUUCGUUUGAUUUUAAACGUUACUGCGAAACACCCAGAGAGAAAACAGAAUGGAAUCCCUCCGUUUGUCCGCCACCACCUCCUCUCUUCUACUUUGGAAGACCCCGGCCAACCACUAGUGACGGCUGCAAAGCAUUUUAUUUCAUUCUCUUUAUGCUUCUCUGGUUCUAACCACCCCCUGACUUCAAACUUCCACUUCACCAUUUUUUUUUCUUUUUCGGGGGCAAGAUUUAUGAUCGUUCAGAAACGCACACAGGUAUAUACUGUGAGGGAGUGGUUGGAGAAGCGACUGAAGACGGGUUUCAGUUUGGAAGACAGAUGAAGUUGAUAUGAUCGAAUUAUCAAACUUCAUUCGAAAGCGAAUAUUUUUACAAAUUAUAGGGGGACGACUAUGCGUUUUCUUUCCAUUCAGGGGCCCCCGGAAUAAAUCGAGCGAUUAUGUAUAUUUAAAAAAUAACCAUUACUGCAGGAAAAUUGAUUGGUUCACUUGCUCGCAGAUGGUUCAAGUGUUCGGAUAAUGCGUCCUCCAACACUUGACCUAUUUCUGCUGAUGUUAAUGUAAUCCCACGUUAUUUCCACUACUAUUUAACUGCAUCUCCAGAUAGAAUGUAGAAUCCCUCCAGCUUCCGGUCCUCCCUCAAUUAGCUCCCAUGAAAGUUGACAGCGAGAAGAGAGCAUUAGCGUUGAAAAUAUUUUUAAAAAAUGGUGAAAAUUGUUGAUGACCAUAGUUGCGGAAUCGGGCUUAGUUGGAACGAAGGGAACCGCCGCCGGGAAUUUUGGGACGAGCAGAGGUCAUACACGUGGAGAGGCCAAAGCGUCCCUGACGCCCACCACACGCAUGUACAUACGUGGAUAUCAUACCCACAUACAACCACAUGUACACAAGCCCAAGAAAGAAAGAACAAAAAUGAGUGAGGCCAGCGCCAACAGGCCGAUCGGUCUCUCUACCGAUGAGUUGUCAAGAAAUUACUCCUCGAGACUUCCGUUUCAUUUAUCUCUUUCGGUAAUACCAAAGAAAACGGUCAAAACCAUUUGUUGAGGUAUUGCCAGACAAAAUGGCAAUGCUUCUGACCUGAGAAAUUAAUUUAUUGAAAUUUUCUAGUGUGCGUAAAGUGGUUGUUUUACGCACAGUACCUCUGAAGUCCUGAAAUGGCGCGUAAAUUUUGAGUACCGGAAGUUGUACAAUUCCAUUGUGUCAAAAUUGUAUACUCAGACUUUUUGAAAAAUUUGGAUACUCCGACACUUCCGAAGACAGCGAAUGUUCUAUCUGAAUGGAAAAAAAUCUAGUGGGUUGUGGGCAGAAUGAUUUACAGCCGUUUUCCGUGAAUGCACGCGUCAACAAAUCGGAAAAUGCGAACGUAUGUCAAUCCCCCUGUGGUUGCAUUAGGUUAUCAUGCAACAUACACAAGCCACUGGAAACGCCCUUUUUCAUAGAGAAUCGUAAUGCCACUGACAACGCACUGUGACUUUUAAUCGGUCAUACAGGAGUGAUCGAUGAGCCUACAUUAUCAUGAGAAAAGAUAUGGGAGAUUGUGAAAAUGUCAGUGAAUAAUCCAUAAACAACGAUGACGGGCUAAUAAAUGAAUGAGCUUAGGUGAAAAUGAAAAACCACUGGGAUGAAAGGUGAUGUCGAAAUAUAAACUUACAACUCUCAAUCCGUGACAAAAUGCCGACUCGAGUAUCUCUUAUCAGUGCUGACGCAGCUCAGAAAUAUGGAAUGUUUCGGCGUUAAAAACCGCUGACAUUUCAAACUCAUUGAAAAUAAAAAUUGUAUUUCAAUCUACGGUCGAAUGGAAUAAUAACGUAGAUAAUUGCUUCGUUUUUUUAUCGCAAAGAGUUUUUUCCAUAAUAAAUAACACCGAUCUGGAAUGGGCUAAAUUUAGGCUAAUUAUUUUCCAUUAGAAAGUUACGUGUUCGUAAAAUUUUCCAAUUUAAAAAAAAAAAAGAUUUAUAAGAACAUGAAUAAUUUUUUUCAAAUUUGUUGAAUACCCUUUUUCUUGCUAUACUUAAGGCCUCAACUAAAGUUUAUUCAUAAUACCACGUUAACGUCAUUCUAAGCUAUGCUAUAACAGGGAUUUGCGUACUACUGCGAUACAUUGAUGAAUAAAUUCAAUAUAUUUGCUCGGGGGUUACUAGACCCAAGGUUUUCAAUCGAUUCAAAUAUCGAGUGAUAAUCAUAACGAGUCACUCUGGAGUGGCAAUACAAGAUAGAGGCUCUCCACCCAACAACAAGGGCCGGAGAAAGAAGGCGCAUUCAUUAAUGGUCCAUCCUUCAAAUUAUCCAUAUUAUUUUCAUGAAAUGAAAUGUUUCACGACUCGGUUUUGUCCCCGAUAAAGUCCAUGUAACACAUAUACUCUGAACGGUGGUUCAUCCAAUUGGAAUUAAUUAAUGUGCCGCUUCGUGCUAUCAAGUCCGCUGACCUAUUCCCCGAAGUGGGCGGGGGAGGGCUGGUUAGAUGGAAAACGAGGCUCGCUAGAUUGAUGUGACGCAACGAGACUAGCCAUGAGAAGAAUUAAAAAUUACUCGAACACAUCUGUUGAUAAAUUGAUAGGAUUCCUGUUUUUUGCCGUAUUUUUAUUUGAUUUAUUUAGUUCAGGCGAGACAGUUUUCCACGGAUUUUCUCGAACUUUUAUGCGAAACAUCUCAACCUAUGUCAUAACAAUUGAUAAAUAUAGUCGGAAAAUGCUAUUAGAUUAAUAAAAAGGGGAAAAAGUGAAUUUGAUUCGUUGAAUAGGAAACAGGUUUCCGUAGAUCAAUGUGAGGCGGAAGAAUUAAAAUUUUUCCUACGUUUUCCCCGACCUUUAAAAAAUUGUCCUUGAAUUUCAAACUCAUUAUUCCAAUCACUUCAAUAAUUGUCUGGAAUGCCUUUGGCAAAGCCAAUAAAAUUAUUGACUACGGAACUCACUUGAAAAUGUCAUUAGUUUACCAGAAUAGGUGAAAACGAAAUGGAAAUUUCGUUUGUUGAAUAGAAAAUAGAAUUUACUGACAUCCGGAUCAAAGGUCGUCUAAUAAAAUUCAAGGCUGUCUAGUUCUAUUUUGGUUGUUAUUUAGGUUGAUUCCUUAAUCACUAGUUGAGUUCCCUCGAGAUAUCGAUUAAUGGAUAUUUCUCACAUUUAAUGAUUUUUUCCUGAAAAGAUAAGAUGUUUUGUAAUCUGGUGAGUUUUAAGGUAUAUCUUAUCGCGUCUAAAACCAUCUGGACAACUAUUCUAUUUCGAGGCCAAAUAGAGAUUUUCCAUAACAUUUUUUUCAAAUGGUUUCUUGUUUGUGAGGUAAAACAAUCUCUGCAUAAUGAACAUUACCUUCUAAUAAAGGUGAUUCUGGAAACAACGAAUAUUGAGUCAAGAGGAGAUUUCAUCUUCAUCAUGUACUUAAGAUGGUAUAUUUAUUAUCUGGAUUUACAUAGCUAUGUCAGGUUGUCUACACAUAAUAUAAUCAUUUUGUCUUACCUCUCAGACAUUCGAUUGAAUGUUUAUUUCACAUAUUCUCAAAAGGUGGCCUACUAUCUACUCUGAAAUCCAAAGUUCUCAUAAAAAAAAAAUUCAACCAACAAAAGAAGAGCUACGGGUUUACUUAUUUACAAUUUUCAAUCUUAAAUCUUUAUCUCAUUAACAGUUUUACGCUCGUUACGUUUAUACAAAUUUCUCUCGAAAUUCCUCAAAUAACUAAUCGAAAAUUGAAAAAUCGAGUGAGCAAAUUAAGAUCUCGCACCAAAGAGUGAAAGAUAAACGACACUUUGACGUGAGUGAACAUAGGGAUCCAGUACUUAAUAAAUUAAAUUUAAAUAAUGCACCUAACAAUAGGCGUAUCUCCAUGAAUUCCCCAGAUCUGUCACAUUUUGUAACCAACCCUCAUAUUCAUUCCUCACAGAUUUACCUCACAUUAUCACGUAUUGUAAAUUACUUCUAAUGUCUACCCUAGUCUCGUCAAACUAUGAUACAAAAAGAAAA